rnacentral:piRNA from 2 species
UUCAACGGCCGCGUGCUCUUCAUCAA